UGGCGACCUGAACAAACAUGGCCGCUUGACAUCACGGGAGAAGUUGAAUUAAUAACUUUAAAAAGAACAACAAGUCAGCCUUGGGAAAUUAGAGUUGAAGCGUCAUUCUCCAGCAGCUACUUUUAGCAUCAGCAGUUUAGCAUCAUGGCGUCAUACACAGGUCAAACUCGGAUGGACGACGAUGGUGAUGAUAUUGUGCAUACAUCUGAAGUUAGCUCCAUGCAUAGUGACGAAGAAAUAAACGAAAAUGACGUGUUCAACGAUGAAGAAUCAAGUAAUGAGUAUUUGGAUGUGGAGACUAAUGAAAACGAUGACCUUGCGGCUGCAGCCAGCGCCAGUAAAAGGAUGUCCUACGUGGAGACGGCGCGGAUGUUCAAGCUGAGACGAAACCUGGACCAGCUGGACUGCUUUCGCAGGCAGAAGGAGUGUGACAUCCUGAAUGCCAGAGAAGAACUCAAACUACUUCAACAAAAUAUUCAAAGUUUGCAGACACACAAGGAGAAAUUGGAGAAAGAAAUUGAGGGUGAGAAAGCUGGGGAGUCAAGUGUUGCUUUGUUUCGAUUGCAAGCUCAGCAUAGAAGCCUCCACCAGGAGUUGCAGAGGGAAACGGAGAUAGAGGCACAGAUCAACACAGAGCUGAAGCAACGAGAGCUGGAUCUCUCUGAGUUGGAGGUGGAGCUGGGAAGGUUCUCUUCAAUUCAGCAGGAGUUGUAUGCAGAUGAGCAGGCCUUUCAGCGCAUUAAAACCCAAAAGGCGAAGAAGAGGUUGCAGCAGGAGAGGAAAGCCAGUCACAGCCUGCAGCUUAAGAUGCAACAACUCGAGAAUCAACAAGCCGUCAUGGACUUCAGUGAAAAUGAGAGGAAAAUAAAGGAGGAGCGAACAAAUCGCAAGACUGCGGUCAAGUUUUUGAAGGAGAGCAUCAGAAGGGUGCAUCAAGAAGAGGCUGAAAAGGAGCAGCAGAAGAGUAUGAUUAUAGAGAAGCGGAUAAAUGCUGUCAAAACGCUGAAGUCGAGCAUUGCAGCAACACACGAGAGCAUGCAAGUCCAGCUGAGCAGACCCAAAGUAAGUGCCCAAAAGAAAGAGCAGCAGAAUCAACAGAAAGAAUCCCCGCAGGCCCAAGGCAUCAACAACGGCAGCCGUAGACAGAAACAAUUACAGCUACAACAAAAACAAGUGGAAUUUGAGUGGCAGAGGUCAAACAGAGUCAAGAUUGUGACCAAAAUGCUUCCACAACAACAGCCAAUAGAGAGAAAGAGGAGCCAGAAGGAAGUUAUAAAGUUGAAACUGGAAACUACUGGAAAGUUUUUGGAGAAUCGGCUGAAAGAAAAGCUCUGGUGUUCACUCGAUCCAGGCCCUGUUUCUGCCUCUAAACAAGUAGACCGCAUCUAUUCGGAAAGCAGCUCCUCGUCUGAUUCAUCUGACCUGGAGGAAGCCCACCGCUCAGAAGUGGACCACCAGCUUGUCAAUGAUUGCCUGGCUGAACCUGAGUUUCCCGGACUGUGGGAGCAGAAAUAUGAGACACCCUCACACCCGAAGUUAGCACCAAUUUCACUUACCCAAAAUGAAACCCCAGCCACUCCAAAGCUCAAUUUGUCCAUGAAAAAUCUGUGUGAGCCAAUACUGAAAGGAACCUCGUUCCUCAGUAAACCUGAGGUCGUCCUGUUUACGGACUUUGAGGUUGGAGAAACUUAUCCCAAGAAAGUUAUCCUCACCAACAGCAGCUCCUUGUCAAACAAUUGCCGUCUCCUCGGGGUCUCUGCACCGCUGAGAGACUUCAUCACGAUCAGUUUUAAGAUGCCAGGCCCCUUGUCUUCUGGUAUGUCCUGCGACUUCAUCGUCACAUUCCAACCUAAGAUAAACAAAGACAUGGAAGGAGAAAUCCUGUUUGCAGCAGCAGCAGGCCCUUUCUCCGUUCCUGUGAGAUGCACAACAAAAAAAUGUGAAGUGCAGGUGGAUAGUCAGACUGUGGAUUUUGGUUCCCAGCUGGUGGGUCAGAAUAUUUCUCGGACUAUAACCUUGACCAACAAGGGCGCACUGGCCACCCACUUCCACCUGGACAUGUCUUCAUGCGUCAUUUCAGAGACUCAACAUGUCCAGAUGUCAUCCCAAACCCCUGGAGACAGUGGCUCGCAGAUGAUUCUUCCAUCUGUAAGAAGCAAAGAAGUGAAUAAACUGAGGCACGAUCUGUGUGAGGUCUCGCAGGAAAACAUACUUGCUUGUUUGCCGUCCAAUGUUGACCCUCAAACGGAGGAGAGCAGUGGAGAGUGCUGUGACAUACAUCUUGGCAGUGUGAAAGAGGGCAAACUCGAACCCUUUGGUCGUGUUAAACUGGACUUUUAUUUUACACCAUCGUUCCCAGGGGAGAACAGAUUGGACUUCAGAAUUGUGUUUUCUGAUCCAAACAGCAGUCCAAUUCCCAUCAAGGUGAUGGGAUUAGCAGUCACGCUGCCAGUGUGGGUGACUCAGCCAAGCAUUAACUUCAAGAUCUGCAUGUUUGAUCAUCUCUAUCAAGAAAGAAUACAGAUCGAAAGCAGGGCGAGCACAGCUUUGAAGCUGACCUUUGAGGUGUGCCAGGAAAUGAGGAAGCACAUGGAGGUCCUCCCGAAGACCGGCUGCAUCCUGGCUCAAUCCCACUUUAAUGCCCACCUGAAGUUUCUCCCGAGGUCCUCCUUGUCCAGAGAUGCUGGAAAGUACUUUGACAAAAACACUGGAGUUCUUGAAGUUCCACUGAGAGUCCAAGUGGAAAAUCAGCUGGAGCCCAUGCAAGUCACCGUUCAAGCCGUCGUGACCACGUCAGACUUGGAGUUUGAGCCCACUGAAGUGGACUUUGGCUGCUGUUCCGUCGACCAGUCGAUCCGGAGCACCCUCAGGCUGACCAACUUGUCGCUGCUGUCUCAAGAGUUUGGUUUCGUCGGUGUCCCGGAGUUUGUUGAUGUCCAACCCAAUGAUGGCUUUGGCACACUCCUUCCUCAAGAGACACUUGAAAUUGAUCUGAUUUUCAGUGCAGAGAAGAUCAAAGAGUACAACUUCCAGCUGACUUGCAAAACUACGACUAACAGAGAGUUUCCUCUGACCUGCCGUGCAGUGGGUGUCCAUCCACCACUGCAGCUUUCACACUCGCUUGUUCAUUUCGGAGCCACUGCUUUAGGGGAUGAAUCGACUGCUUUGCUUUACCUGAGCAACCACUGCAAUGAGAAAUCUAAACAACUUCUAUCUGCUGAAACAAGCGAGGCGAUCAAUGCUGCAUCGGCCCGACUCUUCUCCUUCUGUCCUCCUUCAGAUUCGCCCCUCAGAAUCUCGCCUUCAGCUGGCCGUCUAUUACCUGGAGAGCAAUGUCUGGUCCAGGUCACCUUCAGUCCCAGGCUGCUUUACCAGGACAUCCAAGAUGAGGCAGUGAGACUCAUCCAACAAGCACAGAGGCAUAGUAAUGAAGUAGCAAACAAGAACGAUGAUGAGAGCCAGGUGGUGAAAACCAGAGGAAAGAAACUGUCUGCGAGUUCAAAAACCAGCAAAGUGUCAGAUACCUCCAGGACAGACAGUGAAAUUGACUUGAAGAGUUGUGAUCUUCAUCUUAGUCCGCUCCUGCUUGAAGAAGCAAGGCUCUCCUUGUUGAAAUCGUUCAACCAAAGCUUCACUAACUACAGGGUUCCAUGUUUCGUGUCCGAUAGUGAAACACCAACACAAGACGGACAAGUCCAACCAGAGUGGAGCCUCAGCAACACUCUGUACCUGGACCUGCUGUGUCCUGUCAUUCAGCCCCCUCUAGUGGUGAUCCCCAACAAUCGCAAUAAUGCCAUUGAGUUUCAGCAUGUAGCCGUCGGAGAGAGAGUUCUGCAGAGUUUAGCUCUCCAGAAUAUUUCCAACGACACCAUAAAGAUUUGGUCAUCAUUGUUGGAUCUCUGCGGGCCCUUCACACUACUCAAUACUCUCAAAGAGCUCAAACCUGGACAGCAACAAACGCUAACAUUUGCAUUCUGUCCAACUUCAGAGAAAAAGUUCUGUGAGAUUCUUGCGGUUCACUGCUGGAAGAUGGCUCUGGAGAUUACUCUGAGAGGGGAGGGCGUGGUGCACAAAGUCUCCUGGUCCCACCCUGGGGGGCCAGAAGGACCUCUUGAUUUCGGCUAUGUGCUGGAAAAAGAGAGCGCCUCGCGAGUCGUAACGCUCCAGAAUGCAUCGUCUUUUGCUGUGGAUUUUGUCAUGCUGCUGUCCAGCAUUGCCCCUUCCGAUCCUCAGAGUGAGGUUGAAGGGCUGCUGGGAAAUCUGCGUGACCUUAUCGUGGGGACCCAGAACUACAAUGGCUGUUGUGCGUUCAGUGUGAAUCCCAUGCAGGGAACCAUUCAAGCUGGCGCAAGCCAAGACGUCACCAUCACCUUUGAGCCUGACCAACCAUCUCUUCAUUAUUCAGACAGACUCACCGUCCAGACCUCAAACCAGAGUAAAUUGUGUGAGAUCAAUCUGAAAGGUGCAGCUUCCUCACAUCACGUGUAUGUGAGAGGAGGAGAACGGCUGACGGUGCCAGUUAGAUCACUCAUCCCUCCUCAGUUGACAUUCAGUGGGCUGCAGCUUGAAGAAUCACAAGAGGCUACAAAGUCUGGGAUCCCAGUUCUGGUGUUGCUCCAUGCCAUCUGCACCCAGGACCGAGUCCAGCCUGCGGUCAGGGAGUUGCAAGUGGGGUGUAUCAAAUCUAAGAGAUCUAAUAAAAGGGGUGCGGAGUUUAUCUUGGAGGAUGUGGAAUCGCUUGAGGAGCAGGGCUUCACUGUGGAGCCCAGCAGGGGCAGUGUUGCGCCAGGACAGAGUUCCAUCAUCACGAUCACUUGGACUCCCCAGAAUCAGUUCAAGCAGGAAAGGUGGAUAGAAAGGGAGCGACAGCAAUGUUACAUUAUCCUGAGACUUGUAUAUUUGGUUAAAAAGAGACAAGUACAGUGAGGGAGCAGUGACUAACAGGCUUGGAAGCGGAGGAUAAGAAAAGCCAGUGAGGAGACUCAGUGUAUGAAGAAAAGCAGUGUGAAACCAGCAGACUAUCUUUCUUUUUAAACCCAAUGACAUGGUCCAAAUGUGGGUGCGGCUCACAGUCAUCGGAGAAGAGACUGUUGUUUACAACGUCACCUUGAUGGCUCAGGUUUUACCACAGUGACACUUGUGGGUUCAAGCUGAUGAAAUUUGGACACCAGUAAUUGUGCUUAUAGCUGAGUAUAACUGCUGAGGUUGAAAUUAUUUUGCAUUGUUGUGAAGUAUAUCAGCCCAAAGAUCCGGUCAUGUAUGAAAAACGCAUGUUGAAAAUAUGAAUCGCUGUACCAUUUACCGGUACAUGAAAUAACCAUGAUGAAAAAAUGUUAGUCGACUCGAUGCAUUGAAGCCAGAACACUGAAGUUUCUUUUUAAAUUUUAAUAAAUAUUUUCAAUAAUCUUUGUGUGUUUGAUUCUGC